rnacentral:misc_RNA from 1 species
GUGAAUCAUCAAAUUUUUGAACGCAAAUUGCACUCUCCUCGGAGAGUAUGCCUGUUUGAGGGUCAGCCUAUAAAAAUCGACAUCGUUGCGGUUUCGCGGUGGCGUUCGUCGGACAUUGGGUCAUCUUAAAUCCUUUUGAUUUAAGCGACUUACAGUUUUCUUUUGGUUCCAUUAACGUUUCAAAGAUCUAUUUCUUUACCCGUUUAAGGCAUUGAUUUUGACUAGUCCUGACCAU